UACAAACUGAGGCGUGCUGUAAGCGCAAAAUACAUCCCAGACUGCAAAAACUUAGAACAAAAACAAGAAAUUUGUUAAUGAUUUAUUUUAUAUUGAGUACAUGCUGAAAUUUUAAUAUUUUGAAUAUAUUAAAUAUGAUACUAAAAUUAUUUUCCCUAGUUUCUUUUUACUUUUUUAAUGUGGCCACCAAAAACCAAAAUUAUGUAUGCGGCUCUCAUUAUAUAUAUGCACAGUGCUGCCCCAGAAAGAAAGCUACUAUUUUGCAGAACCAAGGGUGGUUUGGUCUGGUCUGCAAGGGUGGUGUGUGUGAGUGUCUAUGUGUGUGUCUGUGUGUUUCUGUCUGUAAGUGUCUGUGUGUAUCUGUGUCUGUGUCGUGUGUGUGUGUGUGUGUGUAUGUGUGUGUGCACGUAGUUGAGCCAUUGAGGGCAGGCACAGCAGAUGCAGUGGUAGGCCAAGGCCCUGAACUUGAUCUUAUAGGAGACAGAGAGUGAUUCAGAAGCUUUGAGAGGCAGGUUGACCCCACUAGAAUGUUUAGAGUGACACCAGAGCAGAAGGGACGAGGAACCGGGAGUCUCAUGAAAAACGAAGCCCUGAGCAGCAGUGCAGGGGAGUUGAAAGAGAAGGAACCCGUUGACGGUCCCACAGCCUGAGUUCACAGGCAGAGGUAGUCAGGCCCAGGCUAGCCUAGUGGUUAGAGUAUGGCCUUUGGACCCAGACUACUCACUUUGAAUCCUAGCCCUCCCACUAACUGCCUGUGUGACCCUGAAUGAGUUACUUAACUUUGCUGUGCCUCAGUUUGUUCAUCGGUAAAAUGGAGAUCUACAUCAUUUCUAACUAUAUCAUUGGGUUGUUGUGAGGCACGAAUGCGUUCCUAGAUGCCAAGUACUUACCACAGUGUGUGAGGGUCCUGCUCGCUCACGUGCUCCUCUCUGAUUUUGUCAGGAGGAUGUGGUCUUCUGAUUCAGUUAGCCUGGGUCUCGUGCUCCCCAGAUGGACAGGCCGCUGGGUUUGUUACCCCAAGAAAGGCCAGAGGCAAGAAGUGUGCCAGCAGACGCGAACAGCAGCUCCACCCUCCUGGCUCUGUGACCUUGGGCAAGUGGCUCCAUGGAUCAGAAGCCCAACUUCCACUUGUGUAAAAGCUUCCUGGAGAAAUUGUGAGGACUGCAGCACCCCUGCCCCACAGAAGCUUUACACUUCAGAGAGAAGCAAGAGACGUGCUUUACCAGCCUCCCUUGCAGCUGGAGAUGGCCAUGUGACACAGUUUCAUCCAAAAAGAUGUCCAGAGGAGUCUCCUGGGGAACUUCAGAUUAAAACAAAGAAGCCAAUGAAGAGAGCUCUUCACUGUUGUGUGUGAGUGCAAUGCCUGGAACUGUGGCAGCCAUCUUGUGAUAAUAAGGGGAAGGCCAAGAGAAUUGGGGAGACAUGGAACAGAUAGCUGGACCUUGAGCUGCUACUGAAGCAACUCUGGAAGCAUGCACCCCUAGACUUCUUGAUAACAAUAUACAUCCUGGUGAUUUAAGUGACUGCUCAUCUGCUGUUUGCAGCCAAAAGUGUAUUAAUUAAUGGAGAGUUGUGAGAAAUGAGGCUGGAGAGGUUAGCAGGGCCUAGAUCAUACAGAGUCCCUAAAGGCAAAGGGGGCAAGUGAAGGAUUUGGCAUAGGGAAGGGACACUCAGGCUUAAAGAGGGUCAGUCGCUACCCAGGACUCCACUGCUAAUAUGUGUCAGAGCUGGGAUUUGCACUGAGAUCUUCCAAGCCAGGACCAAGUGUCUUUUCCACUGUCGCGUAGGGCAUUUUACCUCUUCAACUGAAUCGUCCUAGCCAACUCCCGCAGGAGAGGCUUGCUCAUGGCUUGUUUUGGCCAUGGGCCAUUUCUAACCACAUGCUGGAUAAGUUGAGAUUUCGCCAAAGCUUCUUCCUAAUUUGGGAGCAGAUCUGAGAACUUCAUAAGUGAGACUGGAGGAGGUGUGUGGAAAAAUUGGAGAAGGUGAGAAGGUAAAGCAGUUGACGUGUGAACUGGACUUAGGGGAAAGACUCACAAAGAUCCAGGACAUGGAGGAAAUUAGACAAAAAGGAUGGUGCCAACCUUUCUGCCAUCUUGGUUUCAUCGGCUGAGAAGAAAAUUACAGCCACAGUAUCCUCUCCUGCCUCUCCAUGAUUUACACCUCUCUGACACAGGCUUCUAUGAGACUCCAAGCUCCCCAAGGCCAAAAUAGUGUCUGACCCAUGGUGUUGCCCAGAGACUGGCUCAGUGUGUGACCCACAAUGGGUACUUUUCAGCGUCUGCCCGUGUGGACUGAAACUUGAGACAAAGUGAAAUUAGGGGUAACCUUAUCUCUAGGGUGGCCACCUCCUC
rnacentral:lncRNA from 1 species